rnacentral:rRNA from 1 species
CACGACGUCGAGCAUCUACGGAUGUGAAGUCAUUGAUGCCAUGCUUCCAGGAAAAGCCUCUAAGCUUCAGAUUGUAAGGAAUCGUACCCCAAACCGACACAGGUGGUCGGGUAGAGAAUACCAAGGCGCUUGAGAGAACUCGGGUGAAGGAACUAGGCAAAAUGGUACCGUAACUUCGGGAGAAGGUACGCUCUCGACGGUGAAGUCCCUCGCGGAUGGAGCUAUUGAGAGUCGCAGAUACCAGGUGGCUGCAACUGUUUAUUAAAAACACAGCACUGUGCAAAAUCGCAAGAUGACGUAUACGGUGUGACGCCUGCCCGGUGCCGGAAGGUUAAUUGAUGGGGUUAGACUUCGGUCGACGCUCUUGAUCGAAGCCCCGGUAAACGGCGGCCGUAACUAUAACGGUCCUAAGGUAGCGAAAUUCCUUGUCGGGUAAGUUCCGACCUGCACGAAUGGCGUAAUGAUGGCCACGCUGUCUCCACCCGAGACUCAGUGAAAUUGAAAUCGCUGUGAAGAUGCAGUGUACCCGCGGCUAGACGGAAAGACCCCGUGAACCUUUACUACAGCUUGGCACUGAACAUUGACCCUACAUGUGUAGGAUAGGUGGGAGGCUUUGAAGCGCAGUCGCUAGAUUGCGUGGAGCCGUCCUUGAAAUACCACCCUUGUAGUGUUGAUGUUCUAACGUCGACCCCUUAUCGGGGUUGCGGACAGUGCCUGGUGGGUAGUUUGACUGGGGCGGUCUCCUCCCAAAGCGUAACGGAGGAGCACGAAGGUGGGCUAAUCACGGUUGGACAUCGUGAGGUUAGUGCAAUGGCAUAAGCCCGCUUGACUGCGAGAAUGACAAUUCGAGCAGGUGCGAAAGCAGGUCAUAGUGAUCCGGUGGUUCUGAAUGGAAGGGCCAUCGCUCAACGGAUAAAAGGUACUCCGGGGAUAACAGGCUGAUACCGCCCAAGAGUUCAUAUCGACGGCGGUGUUUGGCACCUCGAUGUCGGCUCAUCACAUCCUGGGGCUGAAGUCGGUCCCAAGGGUAUGGCUGUUCGCCAUUUAAAGUGGUACGCGAGCUGGGUUUAGAACGUCGUGAGACAGUUCGGUCCCUAUCUGCCGUGGGCGUUGGAGAAUUGAAAGGGGCUGCUCCUAGUACGAGAGGACCGGAGUGGACGAACCUCUGGUGUUCGGGUUGUGUCGCCAGACGCAUUGCCCGGUAGCUAAGUUCGGGAUCGAUAACCGCUGAAAGCAUCUAAGCGGGAAGCGAGCCUUGAGAUGAGUUCUCCCUGAUACUUUAAGUAUCCUAAAGGGUUGUCGUAGACUACGACGUUGAUAGGCAGGGUGUGUAAGCGUUGUGAGGCGUUGAGCUAACCUGUACUAAUUGCCCGUGAGGCUUAACCAU